rnacentral:rRNA from 1 species
CAAAUCCUGAGAUGUGAUGCCGAGCCGAUUGUGGCGAAGUGGGUGAUCCUAUGCUGCCGAGAAAAGCCUCUAGUGAGUGUCGUGGCGGCCCGUACCCCAAACCGACUCAGGUGGUCAGGUAGAGAAUACCAAGGCGAUCGGGUGAACUGUGGUUAAGGAACUCGGCAAAUUGCCCCCGUAACUUCGGGAGAAGGGGGGCCUCCGCUGGUGAUCAGACUUGCUUUGUGAGCUGGUGGGGGUCGCAGAGGCCAGGGGGAAGCGACUGUUUACUAAAAACACAGGUCCGUGCGAAGUCGUAAGACGAUGUAUACGGACUGACGCCUGCCCGGUGCUGGAACGUUAAGGGGACCGGUUAGCGCACUUCGGUGUGCGAGGCUGAGAACUUAAGCGCCAGUAAACGGCGGUGGUAACUAUAACCAUCCUAAGGUAGCGAAAUUCCUUGUCGGGUAAGUUCCGACCUGCACGAAUGGCGUAACGACUUCCCCGCUGUCUCAACCGCAGACCCGGCGAAAUUGCACUACGAGUAAAGAUGCUCGUUACGCGCAGCAGGACGGAAAGACCCCGGGACCUUCACUACAGCUUGACAUUGGCGUUUGGAACGUCUUGUGUAGGAUAGGUGGGAGACUGUGAAGCUGUCACGCUAGUGGCGGUGGAGUCAUUGGUGAAAUACCACUCUGGUCGUUUUGAACGUCUAACUUCGGUCCGUGAUCCGGAUCAGGGACAGUGUCUGGUGGGUAGUUUAACUGGGGCGGUUGCCUCCUAAAGAGUAACGGAGGCGCCCAAAGGUUCCCUCAGCCUGGUUGGUAAUCAGGUGUCGAGUGUAAGUGCACAAGGGAGCUUGACUGUGAGACCGACGGGUCGAGCAGGAGCGAAAGCUGGGACUAGUGAUCCGGCGGUGGCAUGUGGAAGCGCCGUCGCUCAACGGCUAAAAGGUACCCCGGGGAUAACAGGCUGAUCUUCCCCAAGAGUCCAUAUCGACGGGAUGGUUUGGCACCUCGAUGUCGGCUCGUCGCAUCCUGGGGCUGGAGUAGGUCCCAAGGGUUGGGCUGUUCGCCCAUUAAAGCGGUACGCGAGCUGGGUUUAGAACGUCGCGAGACAGUUCGGUCCCUAUCCGCUGCGCGCGCAGGAGACUUGAAAGGAGCUGUCCCUAGUACGAGAGGACCGGGACGGACGAACCUCUGGUGUGCCAGUUGUUCCGCCAGGAGCAUGGCUGGUUGGCUACGUUCGGAAGGGAUAACCGCUGAAAGCAUCUAAGCGGGAAGCUCGCCUUGAGAUGAGGUCUCCCACCACGAAAGUGGGUAAGGCCCCCGGGAGACGACCGGGUUGAUAGGCCGGAGGUGGAAGCAUGGUAACGUGUGGAGCUGACCGGUACUAAUAGGCCGAGGACUUGACCAC